GAUGAACGCUGGCGGCGUGCCUAAUACAUGCAAGUCGAGCGAACAGAUGAGGAGCUUGCUCCUCUGACGUUAUCGGCGGACGGGUGAGUAACACGUGGAUAACCUACCUAUAAGACUGGGAUAACUUCGGGAAACCGGAGCUAAUACCGGAUAAUAUAUUGAACCGCAUGGUUCAAUAGUGAAAGACGGUUUUGCUGUCACUUAUAGAUGGAUCCGCGCCGCAUUAGCUAGUUGGUAAGGUAACGGCUUACCAAGGCAACGAUGCGUAGCCGACCUGAGAGGGUGAUCGGCCACACUGGAACUGAGACACGGUCCAGACUCCGACGGGAGGCCGCAGUAGGGAAUCUUCCGCGAUGGGCGAAAGCCUGACGGAGCAACGCCGCGUGAGUGAUGAAGGUCUUCGGAUCGUAAAACUCUGUUAUUAGGGAAGAACAAAUGUGUAAGUAACUAUGCACGUCUUGACGGCACCUAAUCAGAAAGCCACGGCUAACUACGUG
rnacentral:rRNA from 1 species